AUACGUACAUAUGUACAUACGUUGCUGAUGGCACCGAGCGACGUCGCAGUGUGCGAAUAACGGUCCGAAAAUACUACGUUGAGCAAUUUUUUAGUAUUAUUUUUGUCGCGUGUAAAGUCGGUUGUUUUGUGAUUGGUAAAAUCGAAAUACUGAGUGAUGUUGAAACAGAGGACAAAACGCAAGACGACGGCCUGUUAAGAUUAUUAACAGAUUUUAAUUUGCCUGAUGUGCUUCCUUAUUUAAACGCUGCGCAUGGGACUUUGGAAAGUUUACAGUACAUGAGGAAGGAAGACUUGAAAGAAGCCAUACCACCUCUUGGCCUUCGGAUGGAAUCCCGGAGAAGCUCUUUAUGUGGAAAAAACGAGAGUUUGGAAUAGACGAUGAUAUAAUUUCCGUGCCAUCUAAUGUGGGUGCUUGGCUAGAAACGGCAACAGAAAAUACAAAGCAAAUCCUAAAAAAGGAUUUGACAACUUAGCUUAAGGAUUCUGGGCGAGGCCGAGCUCUUCUUAUGUCUGAUACAAAAAUAAAACACUUACAAAUGCAUAAAGGGAGGAUAUCAUUAAUAUUGUAGUGGAAGAGGUUAUUUCAAAGAAUAUUAAUCUAAAAGUGCAGGACUUUCCUUGCAUAGUGGACGAAGUAUGCUCCAUACUCCCCAGUGAAGUUAAUAUGCAGAACUAUUACUUCAUUUCGAGGCAAGGAAAAAACAAUCCGUCUGGAAAGUUGUAUUCAAAGUAUGAAAACCAAAAAUCGAAGCACCGAAAGGUUGAAGGAUUGUCUGAGCCGUCUGAGAGCAAAGAUAAAAACUAUGCUAACAGAUCGAUUGUCCAAACUCCAGAAGUUGAUGAGUCGGUUUCCGAAGCAUAUAAAACAUCCUUAAACAGAGACUGUGCGGAUUGGGCCGAAGUUUUCGACAAAUGGAAGAAAACUUUUCAUUUAAAUUUGAUUGUAAUUUGAGUCCUUUGGAUUUUUUUCAAGCUUGGUCAAAAUUGUCACAUGCACAGGCUUCUGAUUUGAUUGAAAUUGAUUUUCAGUUCAUGUAUCCUGAGAAAACACAUUUAUUCCUUGCUAAGUGGGAAACUUUUAAAGCAAAAAUUAUUAAUUACUAUGAGAAAAACAUAAGCAACGAAUAUUGUAAGCAAAUACUUUCUACAGUUAAAUCGUUAAAUAAUAAAGAUGUCCAGGACUAUUUAAUUACAAUUCUUCUAAAUGCUGUAUUACCUUCCGGCGCCAGAUUCAAAAGCGAAAGCGGUAAAAAACUAAGAAAGUAACUAUAGUUGAUUCUCAGGAAAGUUUGGUUUUGCGGUUCCCAACUUUGAAUGAUUACCAACGGCAGGUCUAUGCCAUAAUUAACCAAUACUACUCUGCAGGGUUAACCGUACAACCUUUUUCGAUUGUCGAAGGGCUGUCAGAUACAAAUAUAAGCGGUUUCUUUGUGUACUUUGAUAAUAAUUUGCUUAAGUUUAAUUCGUUCAUUCAAAGCAUAGAUAUUUGUUUUAAACUAUUUCAAAUAAUGAAUCUUAAAUAUCCAGAAGCUUGUCAGGACUCCUGGCUUUUUAUUCAAAUAUUUUUUUUUCAAAUUGAAACUUCAAGUCGUCAAAUAUUACAUCACUUGUAAGCUUUUUGAACACUGAUUAGAAAAUAACGGAAAGAUGUAUACUUGUUUUCGUUGUUUAAAAAUCUUUGCAGCACCUGCAAUUUUGAUAGUUCAUUUUAAAAAAGAUCAUUUAUUAACACGAAAACUGUUAAAAAUAUAAUGCAUUCAAAACAACUGUAAUCAAACUUUUACUAAUUUUUCUUGUUUUCGCAUACAUUUGGAAAAUAAAUAAAACGGAUAACGAUGAUGGUUUUGGCGACCACUUUAUUUCUUAAUUGUUAAUUCUGCCGGCUCGAGGUCAAAUGGUUUUAGAAAAUUUUUUUGAAUUAAAACACAGGAUUUUAGUUUUUUUUCGAUAUAUUUCGGUUACGCUUCAGUAACCGUCCUCAGGGCAACUAUUGACAAUCAUGUAAAACAUAAACAUAUACAUACAUAAAUACAAAUUUCAAAACAAUAAUUAAACACAAAAUGCAUACAUACAUUAAUUUACACGUCUGCACUGUUUGACGUGGAGUUUGGUUUGGAGUACAGUACCGUAAUGAAAAUGCUUUUGUACUUUGUCAACAAGUAGAGGUAAAAACAUUUGAGUCAUUUAAGAUCAUAUGAGAUAGGUUGUUUAGUUGAUAAAAUGUAUUUAAGACCUAUUGAAGAAUUUACAAGUCCACCUUUACAUAUAUAUCCUACAAAUAAUGGAAAAUCAUAUUUAAGAAUGAAAUAUCUGUAAGGUUAUAAUAAUAAAAAGUCCUAGAAAUUUUUCGAGAACGUGAUUUCGUAGGCCAUCGAAUGUCUGAAUAACAAUAUUAAUUUAUGUACACUGGCAAUCAAAAGUGAGUGCAUGGUGUUUUUAGUUUAAUAUU